UACGUAGGGGGCAAGCGUUGUCCGGAUUUAUUGGGCGUAAAGAGCGUGUAGGCGGCCAGGUAGGUCUGCUGUGAAAACUCGAGGCUUAACCUCGAGAUGUCGGCGGAAACCAUCUGGCUAGAGUCCGGAAGAGGAGAGUGGAAUUCCUGGUGUAGCGGUGAAAUGCGCAGAUAUCAGGAAGAACACCGGUGGCGAAGGCGGGUCUCUGGGCAACAACUGACGCUGGAGGAGCGAAAGCGUGGGGAGCGAACAGG
rnacentral:rRNA from 1 species